GAUGAACGCUGGCGGCGUGCCUAAUACAUGCAAGUCGAGCAAAUGGAUUAAGAGCUUGCUCUUAUGAAGUUAGCGGCGGACGGGUGAGUAACACGUGGGUAACCUGCCCAUAAGACUGGGAUAACUCCGGGAAACCGGGGCUAAUACCGGAUAACAUUUUGAACCGCAUGGUUCGAAAUUGAAAGGCGGCUUCGGCUGUCACUUAUGGAUGGACCCGCGUCGCAUUAGCUAGUUGGUGAGGUAACGGCCCACCAAGGCAACGACGCGUAGCCGACCUGAGAGGGUGAUCGGCCACACUGGGACUGAGACACGGCCCAGACUCCUACGGGAGGCAGCAGUAGGGAAUCUUCCGCAAUGGACGAAAGUCUGACGGAGCAACGCCGCGUGAGUGAUGAAGGCUUUCGGGUCGUAAAACUCUGUUGUUAGGGAAGAACAAGUGCUAGUUGAAUAAGCUGGCACCUUGACGGUACCUAACCAGAAAGCCACGGCUAACUACGUGCCAGCCGCCGCGGUAA
rnacentral:rRNA from 1 species